rnacentral:rRNA from 1 species
GAAACAUGGACUUCCCGCAAGGGACUGGAGUCGAGGUGCUGCAUGGCUGUCGUCAGCUCGUGUCGUGAGAUGUUGGGUUAAGUCCCGCAACGAGCGCAACCCUUGUCCUGUGUUGCCACCCCGCAAGGGAGCACUCUCAGGAGACCGCCAGCGAUAAGCUGGAGGAAGGUGGGGAUGACGUCAAGUCCUCAUGGCCUUUAUGUCCAG